UACGUAGGGUGCGAGCGUUGUCCGGAUUUAUUGGGCGUAAAGAGCUCGUAGGCGGUUUGUCGCGUCGGCCGUGAAAUCUCCACGCUUAACGUGGAGCGUGCGGUCGAUACGGGCAGACUUGAGUUCGGUAGGGGAGACUGGAAUUCCUGGUGUAGCGGUGAAAUGCGCAGAUAUCAGGAGGAACACCGGUGGCGAAGGCGGGUCUCUGGGCCGAUACUGACGCUGAGGAACGAAAGCGUGGGGAGCGAACAGG
rnacentral:rRNA from 1 species